UUCUACAUGCGGCAGGUAGUUAAAUAGGCAACUUUUCAUUCUGUCAGUUGUGCCUUCUUUUGAUUGGGGAAAUAACAUUCUAAAUAGGUCGUCAAUGCAAACAGGAUGUUGUCGCCCUGGUGCUCCUGUUGCAAUUCGACGUGUUCCUGUGAACCGAUAAGAUCCCGGAGUCGUAGGGAAACAGCCGGAGACGUGAGUCAUUUGGUUGAGAACGAGGACCAACGCGAAAUUGUCGCGGACCGAACCAGGAUGAACCAGGACAUUGCACUUUUGAGAGAACAGUACAACUGCACUAAAGAGAAACAAAAGACCCGGGUGGUUUUAUUCAGACAAGCAUCAGCUGAUGACGCAACAGAGAUCAGUGGGAAAGCCCUGGUCAACAUGGUCCCGGUCAACCAGGAGAUGAAGAGCACACAUGAGAGGAAGAGGACGGUGUCAGGGGCUGAGAUUGAUUUUGUUAGGCACCUGGAGAUGACUCCAUGGUACACACACUUAGGAAUCCACCGACGGACCAACGGUAUCAUAGCACCUCAUCCGAACCACACAUUCACCGGUAGCAAUUCUGCGAGUUUGACUUCGCUCUCUGAGGACUGUCCUGAGACAUCCAGUGACAAAGGCUUGGGGAUUCUACUUCUUUCCAUUCUGAAGAGUUGAGUACCAGUAACAGCAUUUCAGGCUCCCAGAAGUUCUCAGCCCCAGUCGUUUUGUCCAGACAACUAUGUUUUGGGGGCCAGCAGCCACCUCAGUUCUCCUCCAGCCCCCUUCACCACUACCCCUUCCCCCAGCGAAAAGGGCCCAAGAAGUCAGAGGCUGCCAGGAGACUUGGGAUGUACACAUCAUUCUGAUUAGAGAGGGAGUCUGCUAUAGUGCAACAUGUGUUAUAUGUUUCUGCAUUAAAAACAUUAUUGUUGAGUUGCUGUAAGGACAUUUGCUAUGCAGCCAUUUCCAUGUUAAUGAUGUCAUGUAAGUUGCUGUGCCUGACCCUGUGUUGGACCCGUACGUUAACGUUUGAGUUUCAUCUCAUUGGAGCCUAAAUGUGUUUGUUUGAGAAGGAAAUAUAUUUUCCCCAGUGAGUCUGCAGGACUGUGCCAAUGAACAAAUGAGUGGAACACGACUGAUUACUCUCUGGUGUGCAUAGCCUAUUAUUGUCAUGCAGUAAGAUUAAUCCCAGCCAUCCAGAUGGAAUGUGCAGACAGUGUGAUGAUGCAGUGAUUUAAAUAUCUUUGUACAGUAUGCUACUUCAACAUGCAUAUUGAAUAUUAAAACAUCCCAUCAAAA